rnacentral:rRNA from 1 species
UGGGGAAUAUUGCACAAUGGGGGAAACCCUGAUGCAGCAACGCCGCGUGAGCGAAGAAGUAUUUCGGUAUGUAAAGCUCUAUCAGCAGGGAAGAAAAUGACGGUACCUGACUAAGAAGCCCCGGCUAACUACGUGCCAGCAGCCGCGGUAAUACGUAGGGGGCAAGCGUUAUCCGGAUUUACUGGGUGUAAAGGGAGCGUAGACGGCGGAGCAAGUCUGAUGUGAAAGCCUGGGGCUCAACCCCGGAACUGCAUUGGAAACUGCCCUGCUUGAGUGCCGGAGAGGUAAGCGGAAUUCCUAGUGUAGCGGUGAAAUGCGUAGAUAUUAGGAGGAACACCAGUGGCGAAGGCGGCUUACUGGACGGUAACUGACGUUGAGGCUCGAAAGCGUGGGGAGCAAACAGG